rfam:Dactylellina haptotyla CBS 200.50 unplaced genomic scaffold scaffold00294, whole genome shotgun sequence.
AUCUACAACCACAGAACGAGGAGAACUGGGUAUCCCGUCCGCUCUGCCUUACAUAAGCCUCGUAUCGAUCAAGUAGUAGUAUCGUGGGUGACCAGAUGCGAAUUCUGAUUGUUGUAGAUC